ACUUUGGUUUGCAUCCUUGAUAGAUGCCUGCACUCAAAUGUAAAAUAUGCAAACAUUCAAGCGAACGUAACUUUUACAUGCACAACUGUAUUUUUCCUCAUCUCAUCCAAAACUAGGAACAUUGGCAUAGGAAGACAGAAACCUCAGCUUUCAGAAUCCAAUAUACGAGGUGAAGAAGCAGUCAACACAACAAAGAAGAAAGGAGGAAAGCAAGUAGAGGAACAAGGAGGCAAAGGUCUUGCUUGACUCAUCUCUGCUGUGGUGACCUUGGAGGCUUCAUAUUCCAGAUUGCACAGCCAUAAGAUGAAAGAAGACUUCUCACUCACAUUAGACUCUGAGGUGAGAGAGAAAAAAUAUAUUUUUCUACCAAGACAGUAAGAUUUUAAAGUUUAUUUCUUAUUGCAGAAUAGCUUAUUCUAUCCUUGCUAACUUAAAGUUAAGUGAUGCCUUACUUUUAUCCUUCAUAUGGUGUUGGUGUAGCAGUUGGCUAAAGCACUGGAGAAACCAAUUAGAAUCUCAAAAAUUGGCAACCCAUAUUAGAUCCAGGCCAAAGAGUAAUAUUGUGGCCUGAUAUAAUGGGGCGGCAGGCUGUUUGUGUGUUGACUACUGUUGGUUGUGUUUGGCAGAUUAAUAAUAUAGAAACAUAAUUAGGAAACAACCAAGUCAUAAACAAAAAUGGAAAGACACAGAAUCCCUCAAUUUAGAGGUUUGAUCAAUUGGAAAAUGUUUCCAGGUAUGGGAUAAAACAUUUGAGCAAUAAAGUCCCAAUAAACUUAAUUAAUGCAGAACAAGAACCCAAUUAAGGGCACAGUCUUUUCUUUCAAGCCUGAUAGCCUUAAUGUAGCUAUCAUGAAAGAGGUGGGGGGUAUGAGGGUAAGAAAGCAAAAAUUAAUAAAUAAUAAGAAAGACAGAUCUGAAACCAGUUGUCUCAAAAAGAACUUCUUUGGAAAGGGUUAUUGACACAUGGAACUGACUGGAAGAAAAAUAGAUUAGAACCUGAGAUGUGCUAUCAAUAAAAUAUCUUCGAGGAUUUAAGACCUAAAAUAAUGCCCUUGGACUUUCGAUCACUCUCAAGCUGAAAUUCAACUUAGAAAGCUGUGCAUCCACCAAAAAGAGGAUAUUCACUAACUCUCACUUUUAAAAUAGUGAUAAUAGAAAGGGAAGAAACUUUUGGGAAGAGAAUCCAGGAGCUAAAGAAAAAUGUGAAUUUAAGAGUUCCUAGCAGAAAGCAGAAUUAUGAACCAAUGAACACAAAUUUCUCGAAUUCCCUGGGUAGGGGCCUUCACAGUGUUUGCUAUAUAUCUCCCGUUGUCGUAUUUCCUGGAAAAUAGUUUUAUUAUGGUUGCAAACUUGUGCUAUCAUUUUUUUAUUUUGAAUGCCUUUAGAAGAACACCUAACUUGUGUUGUUAAUUCAUAAGGCACCACAUCAGUAGGAAACACAUUUGGACUUGAUGGAGAGAACCAUGUGGAUAAGCUCUCCUUGAUUUUUUUCCUAGGGAAAUGGAGGAAAACAGACAUUGGGAGGCAACUAGUUGUGUCAACCCUUUGUGUGACAACAAUAAAUUUGUCACAGAAAGUAAUACCCAAGGAAGUCAUCCACUUUUGGCCAUUUUAUACUGAAAUUUAUUUUUAAAAAAGGGUAACAAGAGGGUUGGAUCCAUAUUCUACCCAUUUAGAUGGGAAAUAUUUAUCAGUUUCUACUUCUUAUAUGCUGCUUUUAUUGUUUUGUUUUGUUUUUGAAUGGCGGUAGUAUGUGGACAUAUGGGAAACUCUAAAAUAGUGCAUCUAGGGUUACAUUUUUCUCUUUCAGCUACCUUUAGUUUAUAUAUAAUCAUUAUCCAUCUUCUGGUAACAGACCUCUCCUCAAUGGCCAUAUUUGUGGGCAUAUGGCACAAAGUCAAAUAUAUUACUUUAGCUUUCUUCAUCAUAAUGACUAUCUCAGGAACUGAGCACAUGGGUCCCAAUAAUUGCAUUUUACAUGACACUAGCCAGUGGUCAUGAGACUGUAAGAAAGUAAAUCCAGAUCUUUAGGUGCUAGUAUUACCCUGCUUUGUGGAUAAACUGGAUUUGAUAUAAUGAUGUUAAUACAUGAAGAAGAACCAGAUUUUUUAAGAGGCAGAAGGAGGAAAUUCUCCAUUUAUUUAAGUUUCUAUGAUUUACUGGGGCUAAUACACACUUGCUCUUUCUAGUGAUAAAUUUGUGUAUUAAUGGAAGCAAUAUUCCUCUUUUAAUUUACCUUAGUUUGACUUGGAUUUUGACACUGUCAUUCAAAAUUACUUCUAAUUAAUUUACUUAUAGCUGUAUUACUAAAUGGUAAAUGGUCACAACAUUUUCCUGUGUAUUUUUCCAGAAAAUUUCCAUCCAUGUAUAUACUUGUCUAUCUAGAUAUAACAUGUAGUGUAUUGAGUAUUUUUGUGCAACUUAAUUUUUACUUAAUAGAAAAUUGUCUAUUACACUUUGUUUAUAUAUCCUAUAAUUUAUUUCAUGUGGUUCCAGCCCAGUUCGGUUUACUGUAGUGGAAAAAAAAUAUUAAAAAACCCACUCCUUUCAAUAAACUUAGAUUAUCAGACCUAGGAAAAUAUUAUUUCAGCGUGGCCCAGAAUGAUCCUCACCAAGGGGAAUUGCAUUUAGAAUGGCCUUUGCAAAGGCUCUAGGUUGAAUAUGCUUAGUGUACUGGAGUAAAGCUGAUGCUAUGAUGGAAAGUGAUGAGUUGAAGUCACAGAGGUUUUGGAAGUUCCUAUGGGUUAUGGGAAUUCCUGAAGCACUUUUAGUAGAGGACAGAAAAGAUCUAAUUUAAGUGUUAAAAACAAUACCUGGGCAUCUGUAAAGAAAAUUGAUCAGAGAACCACAUGCAAUACAGAAACCAAUUGGGAAGUAAUUGCCAUAGAAAAGGCAAGAGAUGAUGGUGACAGUGUUGAAAAGAGAUUUAAUUCUGGAAAUGUUUUAAAGGAAGUUGUGGGAAGAUUUGGAUGGAUUGACUGGAGGUUAAGAUAAAAAGAGAAGAGUCUGACUUCUAAGAUAAUAACCCAAAGAUGAGAAGAAUGGAGCUGCCAUUUAUUGAAUAGGAAAAGAUGGGGAGAGGAGAUAAAUUUGUGCAAGCAGUGAGUGGCAAUCAAAACGCUAAUUUUGGAAAUAUUAAUUUUGAGAUGUUGAGAGUAUAUGAGCCUGGAGUAUAGGGGAUUUGAACUGGAGAAAUCAAUUUAAGAAUUGUAAGAUAAGAUUCUCUAGGCAAUAAGCAGAGAUAAAAAAGGAAGUUGUCCAAAGAUUGAAUUCAGAGAAACAUCAAUAUUAGAAGUUAGUUAAAAAGUAGACAAAGAAGUAGAAUCCAUUUAGAUGGGGUAGAAACCUGGCAAAAUAAGGUAAGCAAGUGUUCAAAAAGAAGGAAGUGAUAAAAAAAUCAAAUGCCAUUGCUAAGUUGAAUAAAAUCCAGACAGAGAAUUGACCAUGUAUUGGUAAAAGUGAAGCCCAUGGGUGAUCUUGUCAUGUGGAGUUUCAGUGAAAAGGUGAAGACAAGUCUGACUGGAAUGAAUUCAGGAGGGCAAAGGAUGAAAAUAAGUGGAGGCACAAAGUAUUGACAAAUAUUUUCAGUGUUUCCCUUUAAAAAAAAAAGUGAAAAAAAAAAAA